rnacentral:lncRNA from 1 species
UGGAGACCGGAUAGAGAGCAUGUACUUAGGGAAGGUUGCUAUCAAUACAAGAUAAGGACCCAAGAUGCUAUUUCACAAGGAAUAUGAAGAAUUCUUGUGUAAAUGGGAAACGUGUCUCUGAGUCUGUCAAAAGCUAAAGGCCAUAGCAGAGUUGUAUACACAGGAAGGUACCCGGUGGGCCUCUUUAAGCCUGAUACCCAAGCUGUCUCCAGGACAAACAAGCUCACGCAAGCCCCUAACUAUCAUGAAGAAGAGAAACUUCAGUUUGAGUGGAAAUUAAAUUGCUCAAGAAUUUUGAUAAAGAGGUGUGUUCUCCAAGUAAUAGAAAAUCUUUUCUACAAACAAUCAACAAUGGAUUAAAUUUCAUGGUUCAAGAGGUCUUUUGGAGAGGAAUUUUCAGAAAAGAUCCAGGAAUAAUGGCCGCAGUGAAGCCCUCACUUAAAUGCACUCCAAAGACACAGGGACAUAUGCUCUCCUCCCCAGUCCCUGGCUGGAUCUGAAAAAGGAGGAAAAAGUAAUUAAGCCAUUCUCUCUAAAUUGAGAGAAAACCUGAUUUAGAAUGGCAUAGAACAUACAGAUAUUCUUCGCUGAUACUCAAGAAAAUGAUUGCGAGGAAUUAGUGACUGCCGACCACAGUUUUCAAGUUUGAGGAAUCUACUGACUUCAUGUUAAAAGAGAUGGUGAGACAUGGCGCUGCAUGGAUGAAACUCCAGCAUUCAGGAGCUUGAGGCAGGG